rnacentral:rRNA from 1 species
GACGAACGCUGGCGGCGUGCUUAACACAUGCAAGUCGAACGGAAAGGCCCUGCUUUUGUGGGGUGCUCGAGUGGCGAACGGGUGAGUAACACGUGAGUAACCUGCCCUUGACUUUGGGAUAACUUCAGGAAACUGGGGCUAAUACCGGCUAGGAGCUCCUGCUGCAUGGUGGGGGUUGGAAAGUUUCGGCGGUUGGGGAUGGACUCGCGGUUUAUCAGCUUGUUGGUGGGGUAGUGGCUUACCAAGGCUUUGACGGGUAGCCGGCCUGAGAGGGUGACCGGCCACAUUGGGACUGAGAUACGGACCAGACUCCUACGGGAGGCAGCAGUGGGGAGUAUUGCACAAUGGGCGGAAGCCUGAUGCAGCAACGCCGCGUGCGGGAUGACGGCCUUCGGGUUGUAAACCGCUUUCGCCUGUGACGAAGCGUGAGUGACGGUAAUGGGUAAAGAAGCACCGGCUAACUACGUG